GGGUAGCUCAUUUGGUCAGAACACAAUGCUAAUAACGCCAAGGUUGCAGGUUCGAUCCCUGUGUGGGACA